AACGAACGCUGGCGGCAUGCCUAACACAUGCACGUCGAACGAUCCCUUCGUGGAUAUUUGCGCACGUGUUCUUAACGCGUUGGAACCUGCCCUUAGUUUCGGAAUAACUCAGAGAAUUUUGAGCUAAUACCUGUUAAUUUCUUCGGACCAAAGAUUUAUCGCCUUUGGAUGGGCACGCGUUGUCUUAUCUAGUUGGUGGGGUAAAGGCCUACCAAGGCGACGAUCCAUAGCUGGUCUGAGAGGAUGAUCAGCCACAAUGGGAAUGAGAAAAGGACCAGACUAAUAAGGGAGGGAGAAGAGGGGAAUAUUAGACAAUGGGAGAAAGCCAGAAACAGCAAAGCAGCGAGAGUGAUGAAGGCGUUAGGGUUGUAAAGCUAUAUUACCAGGGAUGAAAAUGACAGGAAAGGGAGAAUAAGACACGGCUAACAAAGUG
rnacentral:rRNA from 1 species